GAUGAACGCUAGCUACAGGCUUAACACAUGCAAGUCGAGGGGCAUCAGGAAGAAAGCUUGCUUUCUUUGCUGGCGACCGGCGCACGGGUGAGUAACACGUAUCCAACCUGCCCUUUACUCGGGGAUAGCCUUUCGAAAGAAAGAUUAAUACCCGAUAGCAUAAUGAUUCCGCAUGGUUUCAUUAUCAAAGGAUUCCGGUAAAGGAUGGGGAUGCGUUCCAUUAGGUUGUUGGUGAGGUAACGGCUCACCAAGCCUUCGAUGGAUAGGGGUUCUGAGAGGAAGGUCCCCCACAUUGGAACUGAGACACGGUCCAAACUCCUACGGGAGGCAGCAGUGAGGAAUAUUGGUCAAUGGGCGUUAGCCUGAACCAGCCAAGUAGCGUGAAGGAUGAAGGCUCUAUGGGUCGUAAACUUCUUUUAUAUAAGAAUAAAGUGCAGUAUGUAUACUGUUUUGUAUGUAUUAUAUGAAUAAGGAUCGGCUAACUCCGUGCCAGCAGCCGCCGUAA
rnacentral:rRNA from 1 species